rnacentral:rRNA from 1 species
AACGCGAAGAACCUUACCAGGGCUUGACAUGCGCGCAAAACUCUCGGAAACGGGAGGUCCGCAAGGGUGCGCGCACAGGUGCUGCAUGGCUGUCGUCAGCUCGUGCCGUGAGGUGUUGGGUUAAGUCCCGCAACGAGCGCAACCCUUAUUACCAGUUGCCAUCAUUAAGUUGGGCACUCAGGUGAGACCGCCUCGGAUAACGGGGAGGAAGGCGGGGAUGACGUCAAGUCCUCAUGGCCUUUAUGUCCAGGGCUACACACGUGCUACAAUGGCCGGUACAAACCGUCGCAAACCCGUGAGGGGGAGCUAAUCGGAAAAAGCCGGCCUCAGUUCGGAUUGUAGUCUGCAACUCGACUACAUGAAGCUGGAAUCGCUAGUAAUCGCGGAUCAGAACGCCGCGGUGAAUACGUUCCCGGGCCUUGUACACACCGUGUCGA